rnacentral:misc_RNA from 1 species
GAUGAAGAACGUAGCGAAAUGCGAUAAGUAAUGUGAAUUGCAGAAUUCAGUGAAUCAUCGAAUCUUUGAACGCACAUUGCGCCCAUUAGUAUUCUAGUGGGCAUGCCUGUUCGAGCGUCAUUUCAACCCUUAAGCCUAGCUUAGUAUUGGGAAUCGACUUUACUGUCGUUCCUCAAAUUCAACGGCGGAUUUAUAGCAAUCUCUGAACGUAGUAAUUUUUUUCCUCGUUUUUGAAAUACUAUAAACCUCAGCCGCUGAACCCCCAAUUUUUCUAUGGUUGACCUCGGAUCAGGUAGGAAUACCCGCUGAACUUAAGCAUAUCAAUAAGCGGAGGA